UGGAACUCCGUUUGUUUAGCUUCUGUUUACUCUAGCAGCUCUAUACUACUGCUUGUAGUAUUGUAUGGUUUACAGGUAUAGCUGUCGCUUCGUAUACAGGGGAAAUUUCUUUGUAUACGGCGGAUUUGUCGGUAUGCCCGGGGAACGUGUAAUCCUGGGCGUGACAAAAUUUCUCUUCGAAAGGCCAUUUAUAUCGUUAUUGUUACUGAAAAGUUUAAGAAUCAGAGAAAAAUGAAGAAAAAGAUGAAGGUUGCACUGUUAAAAUAAAAUUAUACUGUUUUACAAGAAAAUUGCACUGUUUUAUAAGAAACUUGCAUUGUUUAAUAUGAACGUUGCAAUCUUUGAGAUAAAAGUUGUACUCUUUUGAUAAAAAUUAUACUGUUUCAGAAAAAAAUGCACUAUUAUUCGACCAUCAUCGCCUCAUCAUCGUCUUCUUCUUCCUCUUCCUUUGACCCCCUUCUCCCCUUCCCUCUCUAACCCUCAUCCUCACCAACGCGAGCUUCUCUACCCUGUGUUGCAUCGAACUGCCGAAACACAGAAAAGACCUAUUUCUCUUUUCUUCUUUUUUUUUUCUUUCGUUCUUUUUUUCUCUCCGACCCUCAUCGCCUCCUCUACCGCCUCCGCGGCCCUCGGCGAUGGUAACAAGAGCGGUGCCACCUUCUCUUCCUCCAUCUCUUCCUCCGCCGGCGCCGAUAGCCCUCAGCGACGAUAACGAGGGUGGCACUGCCGCAUCCUCUUCCUCCGCCUCUGCCCUCACCGGAGAAGGAGAAAGAGAAGGAGAACUCGGAGGGCCCGAGUUCUGAGCGGAGCGGACGGAGGCGAUGAGGUCGUUUCCGUGUUUCAAGGCUUCGAUGCAGCGCGCAGGGUAGAGAGGCUCGCGUUGGUGAGGAUGGGGGUCGGAGGGGGAGGGGGACGAAAGGGUCAAGAGAAGAGGAAGAAGAAGAUGAUGAUGAGGCGAAGAGGGUUGGAUAUAUAAUAGUGCAAUUUUCUCUUAAAUAGUAUAGUUUUU
rnacentral:lncRNA from 1 species